UACGUAGGGUGCAAGCGUUGUCCGGAAUUAUUGGGCGUAAAGGGCUCGUAGGCGGUCCAUCGCGUCGGGAGUGAAAAGCUGGGGCUUAACCCCAGUCCUGCUUCCGAUACGGGUGGACUAGAGGUAGGUAGGGGAGAUCGGAAUUCCUGGUGUAGCGGUGAAAUGCGCAGAUAUCUGGAGGAACACCGGUGGCGAAGGCGGCAUCCUGGACCGACACUGACGCUGAGGAGCGAAAGCCAGGGGAGCAAACGGG
rnacentral:rRNA from 1 species